ACUAUAUAUAUAUAUAUAUAUUCAAAAAAUGUAGUAACUUAAUAUGAUGAUAGCAAAUGAACUCUUAUGUCUAUAAAAGAAAGUUAGCGCGGCACCCUAUUGAAUCCUUUUACAACACUAUACACGAUUACCUGACACUGUUGGACAUUAAUUUCAUGGACUGGUGAAUCAUAUAUAUAUAUAUAUAUAUAUAUGUAGCAGUCUGUUGUGGGUAGUAACCCUCAUUCCUGUUCUCAAAAGUAAGGUUUGCUUGAAUGGAAGAAUACUUGAGUCAGUAAAGUCAAAGCUCCCAUCUCAUAAUUACCAUUGAUGUCCAUGUCUGAGAACUCCAAACAUAAAUAAAACUGAAGGAAGAAGCCGUAUUGAGCAUGGCAUGGACAUAUAUUUGAGACCAGCUCAACUAUACAAAAACUUAAAUAUGCACAUACCUGAUAAGCACUUUUAGCACUCAGGCACACCCAGUAGAUACAAUUAACAUAGCUCAUUCAAGAUGGGCUAAGCUGGUACCCAAUUGGCUGUCACUGAUUUGAGCAUGACAGUCGAACAAUUUAUUCUAAACAGUAGGAUCUCAAUUCCCAUGCUUUGAGUCAUAAACAAGAAGUACCAUUGUACAGCAUGUAUGACUAGAGAAGAAAUCUUAUAGA